rnacentral:rRNA from 1 species
GGGGCUAUACAUGCAAGUCGAACGCACUCUCGUUUAGAUUGAAGGAGCUUGCUCCUGAUUGAUAAACAUUUGAGUGAGUGGCGGACGGGUGAGUAACACGUGGGUAACCUGCCCUAAAGUGGGGGAUAACAUUUGGAAACAGAUGCUAAUACCGCAUAAAACCUAACACCGCAUGGUGUAGGGUUGAAAGAUGGUUUCGGCUAUCACUUUAGGAUGGACCCGCGGUGCAUUAGUUAGUUGGUGAGGUAAAGGCUCACCAAGACCGUGAUGCAUAGCCGACCUGAGAGGGUAAUCGGCCACACUGGGACUGAGACACGGCCCAGACUCCUACGGGAGGCAGCAGUAGGGAAUCUUCCACAAUGGACGAAAGUCUGAUGGAGCAACGCCGCGUGAGUGAAGAAGGUUUUCGGAUCGUAAAACUCUGUUGUUGGAGAAGAAUGUAUCUGAUAGUAACUGAUCAGGUAGUGACGGUAUCCAACCAGAAAGCCACGGCUAACUACGUGCCAGCAGCCGCGGUAAUACGUAGGUGGCAAGCGUUGUCCGGAUUUAUUGGGCGUAAAGCGAGCGCAGGCGGUUUCUUAAGUCUGAUGUGAAAGCCUUCGGCUCAACCGAAGAAGUGCAUCGGAAACUGGGAAACUUGAGUGCAGAAGAGGACAGUGGAACUCCAUGUGUAGCGGUGAAAUGCGUAGAUAUAUGGAAGAACACCAGUGGCGAAGGCGGCUGUCUGGUCUGUAACUGACGCUGAGGCUCGAAAGCAUGGGUAGCAAACAGGAUUAGAUACCCUGGUAGUCCAUGCCGUAAACGAUGAGUGCUAGGUGUUGGAGGGUUUCCGCCCUUCAGUGCCGCAGCUAACGCAUUAAGCACUCCGCCUGGGGAGUACGACCGCAAGGUUGAAACUCAAAGGAAUUGACGGGGGCCCGCACAAGCGGUGGAGCAUGUGGUUUAAUUCGAAGCAACGCGAAGAACCUUACCAGGUCUUGACAUCCUUUGACCACUCUAGAAGAUAGAGCUUUCCCUUCGGGGACAAAGUGACAGGUGGGUGCAUGGUUGUCGUCACCUCCGGUCCGGAGAAUGUUGGGGUUAAGUCCCGCAACGAGGGCAACCCUUAUUACUAGUUGCCAGCAUUUAAGUUGGGCCCCUUAAGGAGAAAGCCCGGUGAAAA